AUCACACCCAAAUGCCUAUUAGUCAUGUUUCUAGGAAAGAGGCCCUCCGUGAGAUAAACUGCGUGUUGAUCAUAAGAGUGGGAUGUUUCCUAUAUCUCAGCAAGAAGUUAAGUGUCAAUCAAUAAAAAUUCAGAAGUCAGCACUCAAGAGAAGGUCAGGACAACGGCCUCCGGCUCACUGUGCAUCAAGACAACAGCGUCAGGGGCUCCGGCCUCCCCAGCAACCUGGAAGAAAGGCGGGAUGCUUUGAAGGAAAUGUGGAGGAAAAAGUCACUGGUGGACACGGAGGCGUUGGGGAGGACAGAUUUCUAAGAAGAGAAGCUCUUCUCCAGCAAUGCUUCUGGAGCUGGUGAAAGCACCUGGAGACUUAGCAGGGAAACUGGGUGGUCCCUGCAGCAGGACACCCAGAGUGACAUCGUAAGAGGGUCACCAAAGCCCUGAACUGCUCCUUAAACGUUCAGGUCAGAACCUCAAUCACGCAGAGACUCUGAACUGGUCCUCCCUGGGAGAAUUAAUGGCACUGGCUGAGCUCUCAGCAGAGUGUGUGUGUGUGUGUGUGUGUGUGUGUGUGUGUGCGUGUGUGCGUGUGUAUGAAAUAAAUACAAACAUUGAAAGCCAGUAAUAAAACAAACACCCGUGCAUCCACCUUGGUGAUAAAAAGUAAGGCAUCAGCAGUCCUGCAGGGCUGCCUGGUGCCUCUCACCAAGAACUUCCUUCCGGUACUUUCAGGCUAGAUACACCCUUGCUUUCUUUAUUGUUUUACCACCUAUGUAUAUAUUUCUGAGCAACGUGUUGUUUGGUUUAGAGAAACGGGUAAUAAGCACAAAUUUAGUGCUUAUGACAUAAAGAAAAGAUUGUAACCCUGCUUGGAAAUGAAAGCUCCCAGGAGAGGAAAUGGAACCAUCUCUAUUGUAGAGCCUGGCUUCCACUUUCCUGAGAGUUUACAAGAGCCCCUUCUGGGGCAGCCAUAAGCAAGAUCUUGAGUGGGUUCUGGGGGCCACAGGGACCAUCCUAGCUGGGGCAUGAGGCAGAUGGGAGGGGUGGACUGGGGACCACAGGAGGAACAAGGUCAGGGAGCUGGUCACGCUUUCUAAGCUUCUAAGCUUGCUGGCUCACCUCCAGCUGUCAAGGAGGCCAAAUGUGAACACUUUUGUAGGGUAAAAUUAGGGACCUCAGGUGGACCAGGGGCCAGUAUAUUGAGGGGAGAAUAGAAACCUCAUCAACACACAAGGAAGACAAGCCCAGACGGGUCAGGCUGACCCAGGAGGUCCGUCCUCGAGUAAAAGACAGUGAGUCCAGGACACAGACCUCACCCGGUGGGUCUCCAGAGUCACAGGGUUCCAGCCUGAAAGUACUGGCCUCCGUUAGCACACACAGGCUGCCCUGGGUUCACCACCAGCUCCACAGGUGCCUAGAGCUGGCUCUUCCCAGGGCCUUUCAGAGUCAGAUCGGUUCUCAGCUUCCUUCCUGAAAGUGAAGCCAACUUUUUAAGCUCUUCAGUCAUCACUGCACCCAUCUUCUUUCCAGUUCUCCCAAAGUUGUUGCGGUCAUGUUUCAUCUUUGCUCCUGCUCACCUGGGGCCCUGUCUCCAUCUUCCUCCUCUAAUUCCUCCCCAGUCUUUCACUGAUUUAGCAAAAUGAGACUAGGUGUUGUUUGGAGAGAACAAAACUAGAUUCUGAUGGUCAGUCUGCCAUCCUAGCCUGGACCCUCUUUGAUUUUUCUUUUUGACUAUGGUUCCUGAUUCAGGUGAUCAGUAGCCCUGUUGACCAGAGGUCUUCAGCCAGGGGCCACACACCCGCAGAAAUGAGAAGAGUUUCCAGUGGGGAUCAGGCAGGAGGAACUGAGUCAU